rnacentral:tRNA from 1 species
UAUAUUUUAUUGUAAGAGGCAUAAAAAUUUUUGAUAUUUUAGGAAAUAGUUUAAUUCUAUUAAAUAUAA